rnacentral:rRNA from 1 species
UGGGGAAUAUUGCACAAUGGACGAAAGUCUGAUGCAGCAACGCCGCGUGGAGGAUGACACAUUUCGGUGCGUAAACUCCUUUUAUAUGGGAAGAUAAUGACGGUACCAUAUGAAUAAGCACCGGCUAACUCCGUGCCAGCAGCCGCGGUAAUACGGAGGGUGCAAGCGUUACUCGGAAUCACUGGGCGUAAAGAGCGUGUAGGCGGAUAUAUAAGUCAGAAGUGAAAUCCAAUAGCUUAACUAUUGAACU